rnacentral:rRNA from 1 species
AACGCGAAGAACCUUACCAGGAUUUGACAUGCCCUCUAUGGAUUCCCGAAAAGGAAUCCUUCACUUCGGGUGGGAGGUGCACAGGUGCUGCAUGGCUGUCGUCAGCUCGUGUCGUGAGAUGUUGGGUUAAGUCCCGCAACGAGCGCAACCCUCGUCUCCUGUUGCCAUCAGGUCAAGCUGGGCACUCUGGAGAAACUGCCGGUGAUAAGCCGGAGGAAGGUGGGGAUGACGUCAAGUCCUCAUGGCCCUUACAUCCUGGGCUACACACGUGUUACAAUGGUGGUGACAAUGGGUCGCGAUCCCGCAAGGGCUAGCUAAUCCCCAAAAGCCACCUCAGUUUGGAUUGUACUCUGCAACUCGAGUACAUGAAAUUGGAAUCGCUAGUAAUCGUGGAUCAGCACGCCACGGUGAAUACGUUCCCGGGCCUUGUACACACCGAUAGC